UACACAGAGAAACCCUAUCUCAAAAAAGCAAGAGGGAGAGGUAAACAAAUACAUUUAAAUAUAUACUUAAAAGUCAUGAAUGAAGGCUGUGGGAGCCCACAGUAGAGAAAACUGGCUACUCUGCAGCCUUCUCUAGAAGAAAGUCAUUCUCUGCUGGCAGUGGAGAGACCGUGGAUUGCACAUUUCAUAUAUGCUCUCCUGGAGUAUUUCAUAGUAGUCGAAGACAUGUAUAAGCAGCAACAUGACACACCCAAGGCCACACAAAUAUUAAAUGACAAAGCUGUUACUUGAACCCAAGCAUCUCUAGCUGUAAGACAGGCUAGGAAAUCCACUCUUGACUGUGCAUCACUGCCCAAAAUAGAAUUGGGGUGCCGCUAUUAAGGACCGGAUAUUGAGUGCAGCAGGUACUCUUCAUCACAAUGCUUCACUUGAAUCAGUUGUAAAGGUAAACUUUCUGGGGACUGGGGCUGCCAGGAAUUGAACUGAGGUCAUCACACGUGGUAGGCAAGCAUUCAACCACUGGAGCAACCUUUCCGCCCUUAUAAAUGCACUCAGUGUUUGAAACAGGAUUAUCUUUUUAUUUUUAAGCCGUUCACAAUUGCAUACACAUAAUACAUGUUGAUCAUGACCCUACAUUAUCCUCUCUUAUUAACCUCUCUGGUGUCUUCCAUUCACCAGCCUUUUUUCUUCCCAACAAGUCCUCUUCCUACCUCCCUGUCUUUUUGUAUGCGUACUCCUCUGUAUUGAAUUGGGGUUGCUUCCAUGAGCCUGUGUGGAUGGUUACUUGAGCAAGGGCAAUUUACCCUUGGCUCCACCAGAGAGAGAUGACACUCCUUCAGGGGGGGGGUGGUAAGAGCCUAAUGAUACCCCCCAAUCCAUGAUGGAAUGUUGAUGGAACCAGGCUUGUGCAUGAGCCCCCUGCGGCUGUGAGUUGAGACAGGGUUUUCUAAAACUUUUCUUCGUUUCUACAGUUUUCUUUGACCACAGAGCACUGAUCACUGAGUGUUAACCCUAGGAUGUUUGUUUCACUUCUGCUGUUUUCUUGCUUUUUUUCCCUUUUGUGAAACAGUCUCAUUCUCUAGCCCGGGAGCUCCUCAAAUGUGCCACCACACUUUGCUGGGCAUAGAACACAUGUCUUAGAUCUCUGCAUAUUCUGCUUGAAGACUUAAGUGUAAGGCUCCGUGAUCUCCUUUAAGGAUCUCUCCGUGGGACUCCUGUCACUUUGUUUUCUGUUUGGGUGCUUCUGCCAGAAAGCAGGGACCUCAGAAGUCUCUGCCAUCUACUUCACGAAACUGUUCACAUUUUAGCUAAGUUGCAUGAGAUCAAAAUGAGGUAAAAAGGGGGAUUUGUGGGGCUGUGGCAGUUCCAAUUGGGGGAGGAAUUGUUUCUUUUCUUUAGUGUUUUCCUUUUGCAUCCUAAGGGAUAAGGCUGCUUCCCCUGCCCCCGCUGCACAGCACAGGACUGCGUGGGAUUUAGGGUGCCAGAGGGUGAGAUAAGACAAGAAAAGUCACCGGAGAACUUUUGCACUCUCUCCAAGCAUUAAGGGACCUCUUUUCACUAUCAGUGGUGGCAUACACAUUAAAUCCCAACACUUGGGAGGCAGAGGUAGGCAGAUCUCUGAGUUCGAGGCCAGAUGGUGUACAGAGCAAGUCCCAUGACACACGUGCGCGUGCGCGCACACACACACGCACACACACACACACAGAUACAGAGAGAGAGAGAAUCCAAGCUGGGGAGCACUGCCCAGAGGAGAGUAGACUCACCAAUGGUGAGACUUUGCGCUCCAGUCUUUCCUAAUCUACUACUCUGCUUUUCCAUAAUCUUCAAAUAAGUCAGAUUUCAGAGCUGCACUCAAACAGCAUAAAAUCUGUUCACCCAGAACUGAAAUCCCUGACUGUCAUUGCUACAUUUAUUGAUUGAAUGGUUUGCUGGAAAUACCAGGGAUUGAUCCAAGACCUUGUGCAUACUACCUACACAAGCUGAGUACUGCUGAGUUAUGCCCCCAGCCCUCUUACUGUCAUUUUAAAAAGAAUUGCUUGGAUUUGGGGAUGGAACUCAGUGAUAGAGUGCUCACCUAGUCCAUAUAAGUCUCUGGGUUCCAUGCCCAAAAUCCUAAGGAAAUAAAAAUAAUUACUACUUAAGAUGGUUGGCAGUCAUCUCAGAAAUAAACACAGCGAUGGUCUCUCUGUCACAAAUGCCACCUUUUAUAGUUACUGACAAAUAACAUCUGGAUUCUUCCCAGAAGACCUGGUUGUGUUCCCUUGGGAAUCUCUAGGACAUUUUGGUGUGGAGAUAAUGGUAGAAGUGGAGAGGGGAUGAACUACAAAAACAAGGUUGUCAAAAGUCUGUGAAGGAGUUUUCUUUUAAUCAGAGCUUUGUGGGAGUCUUUCCCCUCUUUUGGAAGCCAAGCUAUUUUUGAUAUGAGUGAAAUACUGACACGAACUCAUUAUAUCCUCGAGAUGCACAGAGAAGCAGCCCUGGCUAAGUGAGCUGAACAAUUUCCAGUGCCCUAUCAGUCACCAGGUCUCUUUGGAGCUCAUGAAAACUCACUGGUGUGGCCCCAGUUUUCAGAAUCAUCGAAGACCAUUUUGAGCAAGUCACAUCACCUCUCUGUGCUUCUGCAUCUUGAAAAUGUGUUUCUGAGGGUGAGGCUGGUGAGAUGGUCUGGUGGAUAAAGGUGCUCGAUGUCAAGCCUGAAGACCUGAAUUUAAUCCCUGGGUCUCACAUGGUGGAAGAAAACAACUGACUCCCAAAAGGUGUCAUCUGACUUCCAUGUGCAUGCCAUAGCAACACCCUCCCCACACAUGUACACACCAACAAAAUUAAUGUUAAAAAAAUUUAGAACUAGGGAGGGAAACGUAGGGGGGGAUAGAAGAGGAAUUGGAGGAGUAGGAAUGGGGGUGAUUUGAUCAAAAUGGACUACAUGCCUAUGUAAUUCUCCAACAACAAAAAGAUAAAUGUAAAAAAUUUAAAUAAAAUAAUCUAUUUUAUCUGUAUUUAUCUGAAAUUCUGCUGAAGAAAGCAAAUUCAUAAGUAUGAAGGAAAUAACAAGGGUUCAAUAAACAGUAAUGUUCAUACUUUUAUUUUUAAUUUGCCAAGUGUUUGGCUUUAAAUUCUACUUUAUUUAUAUGUGUAUGUGCAAUUGUAUGUAUGCUUCUAAAUGACUACAUACAUGCACUUGUGUGUGUGAGUGUCCCAAGAUGCCAAAAGGAGGUGUUAGAUUCCCUGGAGCUAGAGUUAUGGACAGUUGUAAGCUGUCAAAAGUGGUUCUGGGACCUCUGAAUUUAGGUCAUUUAGAAGGACCUUAAAAGCACUUUUAACCCUGAAUCACUUUUCCAGUUCCUAUUCUUUUAUUUUUAAUUUUUGCUGUACUGGGGUGUCUCAAGGUUUCUGUUGUUAUGAAGAGACACCAUGACCACGGCAACUCUUAUAGAGGAAAACUUUUAAUUGGGGUGGCUUGUUUAUAGUUCCGAGAUUCCCCCUUUAUAAUCAUGGCAGGGAGCAUGGCAGUGUACAGGCAGAUGUGGUGCUGACUACAUCUUGAUCAGGAGGCAACAGGAAGUGGACUGUGACACUGAGCAGUAACUUGAACAUAGGAGACCGCAAAGCCUGCCCUGACAGUGACACAUUUCCUCUAAGAAGGCCACAUCUACUCCAACAAGGUCACAUCUCCUAACUCACUUUGCCCAGACAUCUUAGUUACUUUUCUAUUGCCAUGACAAAACAACAUGACCAAAGCUGUUUAUAAAAGAGAGUAGUUAAUUGAGGAUCACAGUUCCAGAAGGUAGUAGAGUCCUUGACCAUCAUGGUGGGGACCAUGGCAGCAAGCAGUCAUGGCACUGGAGCAGUAACUAAGAGCCAACUAAGAUCCACAAGCAUGAGACAGGAAGAGCAAGGUAACUUCUGAAACCUCAAGACUCACCCACAAUGAUACACCUCCUCCAGCAAGGCUGUGCCUUCUAAUUUUUUCCCAAACAGUUCCAGCUUCAGACCAAGCAUUCAAACAUAUAAGACUGUGGGGAACUGCUCUCAUUCAAACCACCAGACCAGGGCUUUUAGAAUUUAGUAAAUGCUCAACCACUGUGCUAUACCCCAUUGCUUGGUGUUUGUUCUUUCAAACUUAUAUUGUCUUAUGACACACGGAUAAUGUUAGCAAGUUAGUAGUGAGUUAACGUGACCCAUAGACAGUCUAUAUUUACUCAGAUUUCUCUUGGAUCUUCAAGAUGGGAACUUUCAUCCUGUUUUGUGUAAGCCAGUCUAAUUUCAGACAAAUCUGAGUUUGAAUCCUGACUUUUCUGCCAUUGUUUGACGAUCAUAUUAUUUCCUUCCUUUGAGACACAGAUUCCAUACAAAUGAAAGGGAGAAGAUGCAAACCCUCACUGCUCAGAGUUUUGUGAGGCAUAACUAGGCUGAUAUAUGUAAAAUGUUUGGCAAAGAGGCCUAUAUAGUGAAAUUGGCCUUGGUAUAAAUGAGCUAUUUUCUGGAUGAGAGGACAAGAGAUGUUGCAGAGAAUUAUUCUUUUUUUAAAUUUUAAACAUAAUUUUUAUCGAUUCUUUGGGAAUUUCUCAUCAAGCACCCUAAUCCCACUCUUUUCCCAGUUCCUCUGUAGCCAUACCCUUUACCCUUUUAGCAUUUGCUCCCAAAAGGAAAACCUAAAAAAAGAUAAAAAUACAAAAUAAAAAGGAGAAUAUUAAUUCAAACAAGCAAAAAGCAACAACAAAAAGCAAAAACAGUUUUACUUGCAAAUGGUCAUUGUGUAAUGUGUUUUUGGUCAGGUUCAGGGCCUCUGGCUUCUGGUACACCCUCAAUGCUGGACCCUCCCGAUGUCCUCUCAGACAUCCUGCUGUUGCCCCGAGUCAUGGAGAUGCUGCAGCCAUGGUUCUGCAGUCCCUUCACAGACUCAUGAGUCAUGAGACUAUGACUCAGCAGGUCAUAGAUGGGGUAGAUGUUGAGGAGUACCUGCUCAAAGCCCCGAACGUGGAUGUCUCAGUGGCAGCUGAGUUGAUCAGUCAGGGCUACUAGGACCACCCUGCUCAGGUGAGGGGAGGAGUCAGCUCACCCACACGUGCCGUGAGGUCACCCGUGUGAUAGCGUGGACAAUGAACAUUAACCAAGACCCCAGCUGCAUUAGGACCAUGGACCUAGCCAUGGCCAACAGCAGCAGCUUGGGUCCUGUUGUCACUGUGGCCCCCAGUGGCAGUGCAGGGCACCGACAACCAGUUUUCAAGGAUGUGGCAUCAUCUGAGACUUGCCUCCUCAGCUCUGUUCUGGCAACCUUUAGUCAGAUGUGAGUUGAAAAACUCUGCUCACUUUGUGUUUAGGUGUUGUUUGUUUGUUUCUGCUGUUGUUAUUGCUUUGAGACAGGGUCUUGCUCUCUUGUGCGAGCCUGCCUAAGGCUCCUGAACAUUGAGGUCAUAGGCAUAAGACCACAUACCACACCUGACUCUACAGAAUCAUAAAGAUUAUGAUGGCGUCUCAAUCAAAACAAUUUCUCUGAGCGUUUCUUUUUCCCUGUUUAGAUUAGAGAACUCUACAGACGUGCUGCAGUUAUAACAUGCUGGGAGAAGACGAGACCAUGAUGAUUUAAAACCAGCAGGGCCGAGUUCCAGCACUGAUGAGGUGGACAGCCAGGAGGAUUGCAAGAUAGAGGGUAACUUUGGAUACAUGAAUUUCUCCUAAUGAAUACAUGAAACAGAAGUGACAGAGUGCAAUUUUAAAGACGAGGUCCUCAGAGGUGGCCUGGCUUGUUCUGAGCUUUCUUUUCUAGAAGGAAGUUAAUUUGCCAUGUCAUGGGGCCACUUCAAGUACCUGAGGACAGGCCUGCGUGGUGAGGGCAUGAAACCUCCUGUCAACAACAUGGAAAGGAGUCAUUCUGGAAGCAGAUUCUCUGUCACCAUUCAAACCUAAGAUGAUAAAAGACUUGGUUAUGUCUGAAA